GACGAACGCUGGCGGCGUGCUUAACACAUGCAAGUCGAACGCUGAAGCUCAGCUUUUGUUGGGUGGAUGAGUGGCGAACGGGUGAGUAACACGUGAGUAACCUGCCCCCUUCUUUGGGAUAACGCCCGGAAACGGGUGCUAAUACUGGAUAUUCACUGGUCUUCGCAUGGGGGUCGGUGGAAAGGGUUUUUCUGGUGGGGGAUGGGCUCGCGGCCUAUCAGCUUGUUGGUGGGGUGAUGGCCUACCAAGGCUUUGACGGGUAGCCGGCCUGAGAGGGUGACCGGUCACAUUGGGACUGACAUACGGCCCAGACUACUACGGGAGGCAGCAGUGGGGAAUAUUGCACAAUGGGCGCAAGCCUGAUGCAGCGACGCAGCGUGAGGGAUGGAGGCCUUCGGGUUGUGAACCUCUUUCGCUCAUGGUCAAGCCGCAACAAUGGUUGUGGUGAGGGUAGUGGGUAAAGAAGCGCCGGCUAACUACGUG
rnacentral:rRNA from 1 species